GGUGCGAAAGCGUGGGGAGCAAACAGGAUUAGAUACCCUGGUAGUCCACGCUGUAAACGAUGUCGAUUUGGAGGUUGUGCCCUUGAGGCGUGGCUUCCGGAGCUAACGCGUUAAAUCGACCGCCUGGGGAGUACGGCCGCAAGGUUAAAACUCAAAUGAAUUGACGGGGGCCCGCACAAGCGGUGGAGCAUGUGGUUUAAUUCGAUGCAACGCGAAGAACCUUACCUACUCUUGACAUCCAGAGAAUUUAGCAGAGAUGCUUUAGUGCCUUCGGGAACUCUGAGACAGGUGCUGCAUGGCUGUCGUCAGCUCGUGUUGUGAAAUGUUGGGUUAAGUCCCGCAACGAGCGCAACCCUUAUCCUUUGUUGCCAGCGAUUCGGUCGGGAACUCAAAGGAGACUGCCGGUGAUAAACCGGAGGAAGGUGGGGAUGACGUCAAGUAUCAUGGCCCUUACGAGUAGGGCUACACACGUGCUACAAUGGCGUAUACAAAGAGAAGCGACCUCGCGAGAGCAAGCGGAACUCAUAAAGUACGUCGUAGUCCGGAUUGGAGUCUGCAACUCGACUC
rnacentral:rRNA from 1 species